UCCCAACCCAUUUUUCAUAGAAUAAUGCGAAUCAUCAUCCUCUGGAUUGUGUGCGCAGCUUGUCUGACAGAUACGAGUCAUGGAGAUUCUGUCACUCAGUCGUUGCCGUCAGCAGUGAAGACAGAAGGUGAGACAGUAACUUUCAGCUGCAAGUAUGAUACUGCAGCGGGCAACUACUUUCUAUAUUGGUACAACCAACGGCCAGACUUAAGGCCUGAGUUCAUACUGAGCAAAUACUCAAGUGGAAGCGAAGACAAAGCAGACUUUACCGAAACACGCUUCUUUAUCGAUCUUCAGACCGGCAGUAAACUCACUAGUUUGACCAUCUCACCGCUGCAACUGAGCGACUCUGCAGUUUAUUUCUGUGCCUUUCGCCGCACAGUGAUGUAA